UACAGAGGUCUCAAGCGUUGUUCGGAUUCAUUGGGCGUAAAGGGUGCGUAGGCGGCGCGGUAAGUCGGGUGUGAAAUCUCGGGGCUUAACUCCGAAAACUGCAUUCGAUACUGCCGUGCUUGAGGACUGGAGAGGAGACUGGAAUUUACGGUGUAGCGGUGAAAUGCGUAGAUAUCGUAAGGAAGACCAGUGGCGAAGGCGGGUCUCUGGACAGUUCCUGACGCUGGAGGCAACGGAAGGUCAGGGGGAGCAAACGGG
rnacentral:rRNA from 1 species